rnacentral:ribozyme from 1 species
CUUGCGGAGCAAAAGGAACGAAAAGCACACUUUAAUAACAUGUUCUUCAUCUUCUCUUUCUUCUUCUGGUUGGCCAGCAGCGUGGGGGCGUUGCCGACGGUGGAGUGGUCGUCG